rnacentral:rRNA from 1 species
UACGUAGGGGGCAAGCGUUGUCCGGAAUCAUUGGGCGUAAAGAGCGUGUAGGCGGCCAGAUAAGUCCGCUGUGAAAUCUCGAGGCUCAACUUCGAGCUGUCGGUGGAAACUGUCUGGCUAGAGUCCGGAAGAGGAGAAUGGAAUUCCUGGUGUAGCGGUGAAAUGCGCAGAUAUCAGGAAGAACACCAACGGCGAAGGCAGCUCGCUAGGACGGUACUGACGCUGAGACGCGAAAGCUAGGGGAGCAAACAGG